GGUGGGGCAGGGACCCGGGGCGGCCUGGAGCGCUGUCAGGAGGAGCUGCCUGGGCCGGGCGCGCGCCUGGCGCUAGGUGUGGGGGCGCCGUAGGUGCCGGGGUGUGAGGCUGGACGGGGCGUCCGGGAUCGGCCGUGCCGGGGGUCGGUGCUGGCGCGCGGGGCCGGCGAGGGGGCGCAGCGUGGGUCGGGGCUCGGCGCGGGAAGGGGAUGCCUCUUACCCGGCCCCGGCCUCACCUGAUCGUAGACGUCCACUACGGAACUACAGCAGGUGUUCUGCCAGCAUUCGACUUGAAUGCCUUCCCUGACAGGGCGCUCACUCCACACAGCUCUGGCCUGAGACAGGCGUCGCACAGAACUCCCUGUCCUUCCAUUUCAUUGGAACUCGGGGGACACGGCAGCUGCUUUUGUGGGAGGGCUGAUCCGAGCCGCAGCGAGGGGUGGGCUGGGCACAUGGCACAGUGAGGCUCCUCCCGCCCCCAGAGCCCCAGCCUCAGAAGGAAUCUGCCAGGUGAUGGGGCUACCCCUCUGCGCAUUCCUGUGGUGGACCCCACUCCCUCAGAUGAUGCGGACGGGAAAGAUGCGCGGAGCCGAAGAGCGCCCUCUCUGGGGGUCUGGAUUGGAGCACCCAGCACCUGAGCUGGGUGAGAGACCCCUUGGGCUCUGGGGGAGUCCGAGUUGGCCGGCGGGGCGGCCGCUAGGGAGGAGCAGGGUAUGCUCAGCUUGAACCUCACAGAGAGGCUCUGACAACUCUGGAGAGCUCUCAAGCCACGGGCUGAUGGACAAUCGUGACCCUGACAACAUCUGGCCGCCCCAGGAUGCCCAUACCCUCACCCCACCUCCACCCCCACGGCUCUUGCCCAGGCCUUGCCAGAGGCCCUCUGCCUCCCAGCUUGUUUGCCUGCUCACUUACUAGCAGCAAGAGUACCUACUAGGCUGGCUCGAUGGGCAGUUGUCUCUGUCUUGGGAAAGUAGGGGCUGUGCUGGGUUCAUUCACUGGCCUCCCUCAAGCCAGCUCAAGGGCCUGGAGACAGGAGUCCUUCUCCUGGAGUGCUGCCCUCUCACCAGCUCUUCUCUACCAGCCAGCCAGAAGAUGCGAAGCUCAUGGUGACCUUGGCAGGCAGACAGGUGGCAUCAGGAUGGUCUGGGCCUGCAGGGCCACCCUGUCCCUUCAGGUGGCUUCAUGGAGAGCACCAAGAAGUGUGAUCUCAGCAUUCAUGUGUGACCUGACCCACAUCCUUCCUGGUGCCUGAGGAUGCGAGGAGGCUGCUAUGCUGGGGCUGAGCCCUGCCAGGCGUCCUGCUUGCAUCCCUGCAGCUGGGGCUGAGGCUGUCCUGCAGGGAGGGCUGGUGGGCCCUGAGGCAGAAUCCCACUGCCACUUCAGAAAGUAGAGAAGAAGCCAGGUGUGGUGGGGCCAGUGGCCAUCUGCCGGGACUUCAGGGAGACCAGACACACAGGAAGAGGCACUUUCUCCAGACACCUCCUUUAGGGGCAGGGCACAAGGCCUGGAACAAGGCUGCCUCUGACCAGAGCAACAGAGCCUGCUCUGAGGAUGGCAGAGCCUAGAGCAGGCAAGCUGUCAAGAUUCUGGGUUGAGGGUCACAGGACAGGAGGCUGGACUCCCGCUGAUAUGAUUUGGGUUUGUGUCCCCACCCAAAUCUCAUGUUCAAUUGUAAUCCCCAGUGUUGGAGGUUGGAGGCGAUUGGAUCAUGGGG
rnacentral:lncRNA from 1 species